GCGUGCGUAGCUCAGCUGGUAGAGCAUGCGCGUACAAAGCGUAGGCGGCGUCCAUGCGUGGGUUCGAAUCCCAUCGAGGCU
rnacentral:tRNA from 1 species